rnacentral:rRNA from 1 species
UACAGAGGUCUCAAGCGUUGUUCGGAUUCAUUGGGCGUAAAGGGUGCGUAGGCGGCGCGGUAAGUCGGAUGUGAAAUCUCGGAGCUUAACUUCGAAACUGCACUUGAUACUGCCUUGCUCGAGUACUGGAGAGGAGAUUGGAAUUUACGGUGUAGCAGUGAAAUGCGUAGAUAUCGUAAGGAAGACCAGUGGCGAAGGCGAAUCUCUGGACAGUUACUGACACUGAGGCACGAAGGCCAGGGGAGCAAACGGG